UGCGGGAUAGGGUAGCGGUAGCCCACGGGGCUCAUAUCCCCGAGGCCCAGGUUCGACUCCUGGUCCCGCAA
rfam:Halorientalis sp. IM1011, complete genome.